GUUUGAUCCUGGCUCAGGAUGAACGCUAGCGGCAGGCCUAACACAUGCAAGUCGAGGGGUAUUAGUUUUCGGACUAAGAGACCGGCGCACGGGUGCGUAACGCGUAUGCAAUCUACCUUUUACAGGGGAAUAGCCCAGAGAAAUUUGGAUUAAUGCCCCAUGGUAUUAUAGAAUCGCAUGGUUUUAUAAUUAAAGUUCCAACGGUAAAAGAUGAGCAUGCGUCCUAUUAGCUAGUUGGUGUGGUAACGGCACACCAAGGCUACGAUAGGUAGGGGUCCUGAGAGGGAGAUCCCCCACACUGGUACUGAGACACGGACCAGACUCCUACGGGAGGCAGCAGUGAGGAAUAUUGGACAAUGGGCGCAAGCCUGAUCCAGCCAUGCCGCGUGCAGGAAGACGCAUCUAUGGUGUGUAAACUGCUUUUGUACGGGAAGAAACACUCCUACGUGUAGGAGCUUGACGGUACCGUAAGAAUAAGGAUCGGCUAACUCCGUGCCAGCAGCCGCGGUAAUACGGAGGAUCCAAGCGUUAUCCGGAAUCAUUGGGUUUAAAGGGUCCGUAGGCGGUUUGAUAAGUCAGUGGUGAAAGCCCAUCGCUCAACGAUGGAACGGCCAUUGAUACUGUCAGACUUGAAUUACUAGGAAGUAACUAGAAUAUGUAGUGUAGCGGUGAAAUGCUUAGAUAUUACAUGGAAUACCAAUUGCGAAGGCAGGUUACUACUAGUGGAUUGACGCUGAUGGACGAAAGCGUGGGGAGCGAACAGGAUUAGAUACCCUGGUAGUCCACGCCGUAAACGAUGGAUACUAGCUGUUCGGAGCAAUCUGAGUGGCUAAGCGAAAGUGAUAAGUAUCCCACCUGGGGAGUACGUUCGCAAGAAUGAAACUCAAAGGAAUUGACGG
rnacentral:rRNA from 1 species